UGGUUUCUCUUCAGAUCAUAUAAAUCUUUUGCCUUUUACUAAAGAUUUCCAUGGAGAGGAACACUUUU
rnacentral:snRNA from 1 species